rnacentral:lncRNA from 1 species
CUCAAUUCCUGUAUAUACUAGAUCCUAGGAAACUUCUUGAGAAAUUUUUAUGACACUUGGGAACAAAGUAAGCCUAAGAUCCUUCUUUGGCAACUUCCUAAAUUAUCUAAAGCCUCCAAGAACCUUCUAGGAUCUCCUAUGACUUUCUAGAACUUUCUUAGAAUCUAUUGGAACGUUCUAGAACCUUCUUAGAGCCUAUUAGAAUCUUUUGGAACCUUCUAGAAUCUUCUAGGAUCUACAAGAAUCUUCUUAAAACCUUCUAGAAUC